rnacentral:lncRNA from 1 species
AUCCUUUGCCUGGGUUUGCUGUGUCCCAUGGCCACCCAGGGUCCUCCCGCCUGGAGGCUGGGUCCUGCGGGGACGGGGAGAGAGCCCCACUGGCCACACUGGGGCUGCCUCUCACCGUGGCUGACUCCGCCUGGAUCCCUCAUCUGUCAGGUACGGUUCUAGGCCCUGGGAAUCCACUGAUGAAGGAGGCAGAUAAAGACCCCUGGAGGCAGGAAGCCCAGAUUCUGGAAACGAGGACGUGCAGGCCCGUGAGCAUCUCCGUAUCUGUUGGACCCCUCCUGCCUCCAUCUGCAGGACUGGAGCUGGGGGGGUGGGGGUGGGCGGUAGGGUGCUGGGACUCCUCCGUGUCUAGCUUCCAGCUCUGGGCACAGAGGCAUCGGGAUGGGAGGGGAGCCGCGGAGCCCCGGGUUCUGGUCCCACUCUGCCUCUGACAAUCCUGGGGAAAGCUGAGCGUCACUUUCCCAGCUGUACCACGGAGAGGGCGGUGGGGGGUUUGAUGAUACCUCGGCCCUGUGCCUUGUCCUACCUUCUGCUCCACCUCUGAUAAGCUGGUGCUGCCUUUUCCUCAGCAGGUCUGUUGACAUAAAUGUCACACACCAAACGACUCACCUCUUUAAAGUGUACGACUAGGGAGCUCCCUCCAUGGCUCAGUGGUUAACGUAUCUGACGAGCACCCAUGAGAACGCAGGUCUGAUCCCUGGCCUUGCUCAGUGGGUUAAGGAUCCAGCGUUGCUGUGAGCUGUGGUGUAGGCAGGCGGCUACAGCUCUGAUUCGACCCCUAACCUGGGAACCUCCAUAUGUCACAGGUGCGGCUCUAAAAAGAAAAGAAAACAAAACAAAACAAAGUGAGACUCAGUGAUUUCCGUGUAUGUUCACAGGGCUGUGCAGCCAUGACCACAGUGGAGAGAAUGUCAUUGUCACCCCCCAAAAAGAAGCACACGCUCCCUAGCAGUCUCUCUCUCUGCCCCCCACACCCCUGCCACUCAUCUAUUUUCCGUCUCUAUGGGUUGACCUGUUCUGGACAUUUCAUAGAAAAGGAAUUACGCAAUUUAUGGUCUUUUGUGUCUUCUUUCUUUCAUUCACCAUAAAGUUUCCAAGGUUCUUCUAAGUUGUGUAUUCACUCACUGGCGCUGUGUCCUUUUUAUGGUGAUAGGCUGGUUCUUUGAGGUCUGAGGCCCCUCUCUUCUGCUUGAUUAAGCUCCUCCAGGAGAGCUGUGUGUGUGGUCUGGGUCUCCUAGAGGUCCUUUGGUUUCAAUCCUGAUAUUAAAAAGGUCUCUCCAGGGGAGUUCCCGCUGUGGCCCAGUGGGUUACGAUGCUGACUGCAGCAACUCAGGUUGCUGAAGAGGCAUUCUGACCCCCAGCCAGUGGGUUAAAGGAUCCAGCAUUUCAGCAGCUGUGGCGUAGUGGCAGCUCGGAUUCGACCCCUAGUCUGGGAACUUCCACAUGUUGAGGAAUGCAGCUGUAAAACAAACAAACAAACAAAGAAACAAAAAAAAUGGGUCUUUUAAGGACUUCCCGGGUAGCCUAGUGGUUAAAGAUCUGGUGUCGUCACUGCUGUGGUGUGGGUUCAAUCCCUGGCCCAGGAACUUCUGUGUGCCACGGGGUGGCAUAAACAAACAAGCAAUUAAAAGGUCUCUCCAAGGUCUUGCUGGCUUUCCUGAUGGGGGAGAGUGCUCUUCUUCCUCCUCUCUCCCCUCCUCCAGCCAGGCUGGACAGUCUGUGAUAGAAUAUGUGUCUUGGGAAUCUUUGCAGAAGCCUAUAUUCUCUUCUGUCCUGCAUGUGGAAGACUAUUCUUUUGUUCUUUCAUUUGUUAAUUUAUCCAUCCAUCCAUCAUCCAUCCAUCAUCCAUCCAUCAUCCAUCAUCCAUCCAUCAUCCAUCCAUCCAUUCAUCAUCCAUCAUCCGUCCAUCCAUCUGUCAUUCCUCCAUCCAUCAUUCAUCCAUCCAUCCAUCCAUCAUUCACCCAUCCACCCAUUCAUUCAACCUCCAUCUAUCCAUCCAUCAUCUGUUCAUCCAUCCAUCAUCCAUCCAUUAUCUGUCCAUCCAUCUAUCAUUCCCUCAUCCAUCAUUUAUCCAUCCAUCAAUCCAUCCAUUUUUAUCUUCAUUCAACACGUAUUUACUGAACACCAACAACAGGGCUGGGGGAAGAAUUGUGGAGGAAUCAGACAUGAGGGGAGAGAAGAGCAGGUGAUAAAUAGAAACAGGUGAAUGCAAGAAUUCCAACUGGAGUCAGUGAGGAGCAUACAUAGACAAUGAUGUAGUAGGGGAAAGAGCUUGCGGUGUAGCCGUGGUCGCCCUGCCGCCCUGCCCACCUGAAACUCCACGGCCAGUCUUGACGCCAGCUCUGGUCUGCCUCUGCCCGUCUAUACCCUGCUCCCUUCCCCCCACACCUGCGAGCAAACGUCCUGAGAGCAAAUCACAGUCGUCACUCACCGGAUCUGUGACUGCUCCAGCAUGGCGCUGAAAAACAAGGAAACCUUGAAAGGUCCACCAUUUCAUUUUAAAAGUCCGCCAUGAUCAUUCCUACAAGUAAUAAACAGUAAUUCCUU